rnacentral:rRNA from 1 species
UACGAAGGGGGCUAGCGUUGCUCGGAAUCACUGGGCGUAAAGGGUGCGUAGGCGGGUCUUUAAGUCAGAGGUGAAAUCCUGGAGCUCAACUCCAGAACUGCCUUUGAUACUGAGGAUCUUGAGUACGGGAGAGGUGAGUGGAACUGCGAGUGUAGAGGUGAAAUUCGUAGAUAUUGGGAAGAACACCGGUGGCGAAGGCGGCUCACUGGCUCAUUACUGAGCUCAGGCGCGACAGCGUGGGGAUCAAACAGG